UGUGACCCAGGGUAGCCACUGGGAUUUAUGGAAGAGGCAAAAGUGGGGAGAUUUGAGAAUUUAGGAAUGUCAGGAGUGGGCAUACACAGAGCUAUCUCUGGGCACCCUCACCCACUUUGCACAGCCUUUUGCACAGUGGGUGAGGGUGCUCCUGGAGGAGAUCCAGGGAGUACAAAGGCUGUGCAUAGUGGCCUUGGGUCCAGGAGGUAAUAUGGCUUCAGAUAAUAUAGUACGAGACCUGCUUCUGCCCAAGAGGAUCAGAAACUGAGACCUAUGUGGGACCAAGAGGAUGGUACUAAACCACUCAUGAGAAAUUCACCACCAUAAUCUCAUCACCUCCCACCAGGCCCCACCUCCAAGACUGGGGAUUAUAUUUCAACAUGAGAUGUGUGAACACAGAUUCAAACUAUAUCAUUCUUCCCGUGGACCCUCCCAAAUCUCAUGUCUGUCUUACAUUUCAGAAUACAAACAUGCCUUCCCAAUCAUCUCCCAAAGUCUCAACUCAGUCCAGCAUUAACUCAAAAGACCAAAGUUCUAAGUCUCAUCUGAAACAAGGUGUUGACAAAGGAGAUUAUUAUUUGAGUCAGUGGACUGUGAGAAGCAGACCUACCCUCAAUCUGGGUGGGUGCCAUCUAGUCAGCUGCCAGUGUGGCUAGAAUGAAGCAGGCAGAAGUUGGAAAGAGCAGACCUGCUGAGUCUUCCGGCCCUCAUCUUUCUCCCAUGCUGGAUUCUUCCUGCCCUCAAACAUCAGACUCCAUGCUCUCCAGCUUUUGGACUCAUGGACUUACACCAGUGGUGUGCCAGGGCCUCUUGA
rnacentral:sRNA from 1 species